rnacentral:tRNA from 1 species
GCGGCCGUGAUGGAAUUGGCAGUCAUGCUGGGUUUAGAUCCCAGUGGGUUCACGCCCGUGUGGGUUCGAAUCCCACCGGCCGCACCG